rnacentral:lncRNA from 1 species
UGCGCCUGUCAAAUGCGGAACGUACAGAUAAGGUAAUAGCUAACAGAUGAAUAUACUAUUGGUAUCGGUAUCGGAUUAGACCCGGAACUUGUUAAUUAUUGGCAAUAUUAAUUAUGUGGAAAACAAAAGGGUCUGGAGUGGUGUAAUUUUUAAUCUACACCAUUGUCCUAUAUUAGUUAUAUAUAGAGUUGAAUUCUUUGAUUUGUCGUUUUUACCCGAUGACGGCUGACAAAUUGGACCUCGUAAUUUUAGUAUUAUAGAUAUAUGAUAAA